rnacentral:rRNA from 1 species
GACGAACGCUGGCGGCGUGCUUAACACAUGCAAGUCGAACGGAAAGGCCCUGCUUUUGUGGGGUGCUCGAGUGGCGAACGGGUGAGUAACACGUGAGUAACCUGCCCUUGACUUUGGGAUAACUUCAGGAAACUGGGGCUAAUACCGGAUAGGAGCUCCUGCUGCAUGGUGGGGGUUGGAAAGUUUCGGCGGUUGGGGAUGGACUCGCGGUUUAUCAGCUUGUUGGUGGGGUAGUGGCUUACCAAGGCUUUGACGGGUAGCCGGGCUGAGAGGGUGACCGGACAAAAUGGGACUGGAAUGCGGCCCAGACCCCUACGGGAGGCAAGAGUGGGGAAUAGUGCACAAUGGGCGGAAGCCUGAUGCAGCAACGCCGCGUGCGGGAUGACGGCCUUCGGGUUGUAAACCGCUUUCGCCUGUGACGAAGCGUGAGUGACGGUAAUGGGUAAAGAAGCACCGGCUAACUACGUG